rnacentral:misc_RNA from 1 species
ACAGAUUUUGUUGAUUUUGUCAUAGAAAUUUUUUUUUUCUUUUUUCUUAUUAUUUGAACCAGAGGAGCUACCCUUAGGUUGCCCCUUCUAUAGUUGCUCAUUAAUCUCUCUCUCUUCCACUAGUAUUAUCAGAGUUUGUUUGGAGUUAGCUUUGCAACAUUAUGUAGUGGUGUAUUCAUGUUGAAGUUGAUUCCAAUUAUGGGAAUUAACUAGAGGCAUUUUAUUGUUGAUAAUUUGUUGACAAUACUGGGCACUGGCAUCUUAGUUCAUAAAAUCGUUCGGCAUUAUCCUAAGCAUUUGGUUAGUUUUUGGUAGAUAAAAUUGACUUGAGGGUUGGUGCUUCUAACUUUUGUGGAUGC